AAACUAUCAUCAGACUGAACAGGCAACGUACAGAAUGGGAGACAAUUUUUGCAAACUAUGCAUCUAGUGAAGGUCUAAUGUCCAGCAUCUAUACAGAACUUCAAACUUCCUAAAGAAAACCAAACCACCCCAUUAAAAAGUGGACAAAGGACAUGAACAGAAACUUCUCAAAAGAAGAGACGUCUCUUUCCCAUCUUGCAAGAUGGCGGGUGAAAAAGUUGAGAAGCCAGAUACUAAAGAGAAGAAACCCGAAGCCAAGAAGGCUGAUGCUGGUGGCAGGGUGAAAAAGGGUAGCCUCAAGGCUAAAAAGCCCAAGAAGGGGAAGCCCCAUUACAGCCGCAACCCUGUCCUUGUCAGAGAAAUUGGCAGGUAUUCCCGAUCUGCCAUGUAUUCCAGAAAGGCCAUGUACAAGAGGAAGUACUCAGCCGCUAAAUCCAAGGUUGAAAAGAAAAAGGAGGAGGAGCUUCUUGCAACUCUAAUAGAACCAGUUGGUGGUGACAAGAACGGCGGUACCCGGGUGGUUAAACUUCGCAGAAUGCCUCGAUAUUAUCCUACUGAAGAUGUGCCUCGAAAGCUGUUGAGCCAUGGCAAAAAAAAAAAACCCAUCAGUCAGCACUGAGAAAACUGCAAGCCAGCAUUACCCCUGGGACCAUUCUGAUCAUCCUCACUGGACGCCACAGGGGCAAGAGGGUGGUUUUCCUGAAGCAGCUGGCUAGUGGCUUGUUACUUGUGACUGGACCUCUGGUCCUCAAUUGAGUUCCUCUACGAAGAACACACCAGAAAUUUGUCAUUGCCACCUCAACCAAAAUCGAUAUCAGCAAUGUCAAAAUCCCAAAACAUCUUACUGAUGCUUACUUCAAGAAGCAGCAGCUGCUGAAGCCCAGACACCAGGAAGGUGAGAUCUUCGACACAGAAAAAGAGAAAUAGGAGAUUACGGAGCAGCACAAGAUUGAUCAGAAAGCUGUGGACUCACAAAUUUUACCAAAAGUCAAAGCUGUUCCUCAGCUCCAGGGCUACCUGCAAUCUGUGUUUGCCCUGACGAAUGGAAUUGAUCCUCUCAAACCGGUGUUCUAAAUGUCUUAAGAACCCAUUAAAUAGCUAACUACAAAAAAAAAAAAAAAAA